ensembl:lncRNA
AGUGAUCAGUUUUUCUGUUUCUUCUCUGGAGAUGCACAAUGAGGGACGUCUGCAGAGACUGAGAAAGAGUCUCACCACAUCCUGACAUGAGGAAAAAGACUUUAUUGAAGACUACAAUGAGAAAAACGAUCCAGACAGCAGACGGCUACAUUCAAGGCUACAGGAGGAGCCCUACGAGGACGAGCCGGUCCACCUGAUGGCGGCCAGUCGCUGCGGUUCAAAGCCAACACUGACUACGUGGACUUCUACUGGACCACAUGGAGGCCUUCAAACCGGACCAACAAGUUCAGCGACUCCCCGACUCGUGGGUCUGAGGAC